rnacentral:rRNA from 1 species
GACGCUGGCGGAGCUACACAUGCGCUCAACGCGCCUCGGGUGAGCGCCGGACGGUAUAGUAACGCGUGGGAACGUGCCCUUCUCUACAGAAUAGCCUCUGGAAACGGAGAGUAAUACCGUAUACGCCCUUUGGGGGAAAGAUUUAUCGGAGAAGGAUCGGCCCGCGUUAGAUUAGGUAGUUGGUGGGGUAACGGCCUACCAAGCCUACGCAUCUAUAGCUGGUUUUAGAGGAUGAUCAGCAACACUGGGACUGAGACACGGCCCAGACUCCUACGGGAGGCAGCAGUGGGGAAUCUUGGACAAUGGGGGCAACCCUGAUCUAGCCAUGCCGCGUGAGUGAUGAAGGCCUUAGGGUCGUAAAGCUCUUUCGCCUGUGAUGAUAAUGACAGUAGCAGGUAAAGAAAACCCGGAUAACUCCGUUGCCAGCAUACGCGGUACAUACGGAGGGGGUUCACGUCGAUCGGAAUUACUGGGCGUAAAGCGCGCGUAGGAGGAUUAGAAAGUUGGGGGUUGAAUCCCGGGGCUCAAACCCAGGAACUGGCUCCAAACCUGGUAGUCUAGAGUUCAAGAAAAGUGAGUGAGAUUCGAGUGUUGAGGUGAA